rnacentral:rRNA from 1 species
CCCUUAGAUGUUCUGGGCCGCACGCGCGCUACACUGUUCGACGCAGCGAGUCUUAACCUUGACCGAAAGGUUUGGGUAAUCUUCAGCAAAGUCGAACGUGAUGGGGAUCGAUCAUUGCAAUUAUUGAUCGUGAACGAGGAAUUCCUAGUAAGUGCAAGUCAUCAGCUUGCGCUGAUUACGUCCCUGCCCUUUGUACACACCGCCCGUCGCUACUACCGAUUGAAUGGUUUAGUGAGACCUCUGGAUUGACGCUGGCUAGGGGGCGACCCUUGGCCAGACUGUUGAGAAACUGCUCAAACUUGAUCAUUUAGAGGAAGUAAAAGUCGUAACA